UAGCGAACAAGUACCGUGAGGGAAAGUUUCAAAGCACUUUGAAAAGAGGGUGAAAAGAACCUGAAACCGUUAUGGGGGAAGCGUAUUGGGUCAAAUUGAUUUGGGGGAGUGCUGCUGUUCAACGGGGUGAUUCCCGUGUACUCAGUGCAUUUUCUUACCCGUCGUGUGCUUUGGAUGGUCGAUUUUGGGCUGUCUGGGGCUGAGGGAUCCCCUUUUAUAGGGUGAAGACGAUGGGGCGCUGACACGAUACGACCCGUCUUGAAACACGGACCAAGGAGUUCAGCAUGUGUGCGAGUCAAAGGGUGAUUAAACCUGGGGGCGCAGUGAAAGCAACUUUUGUGUAAGGGAAUCCAACAUUAAGCAGUUUCAGGCGGCAUACGAUCGUUGAUUGUAGGACUGACCUAGAGCACAUGUGCUGAGACCCGAAAGAUGGUGAACUAUGCCGGAGUAGGGCGAAGCCAGAGGAAACUCUGGUGGAGGCUCGUAGCGGUGCUGACGUGCAAAUCGCUCGUCUGACUCGGGUAUAGGGGCGAAAGACUAAUCGAACCAUCUAGUAGCUGGUUUCCUCCGAAGUUUCUCUCAGGAUAGCAGGCCGACGAAUAAGCAUGAAGUCUCAGUUGUUGUGUGCGGUAAAGCGAAUGAUUAGCGUAUUUGGGGGUGAUUAGCCUUC
rnacentral:rRNA from 1 species